AGNUAACACGUGGGAAUUUUCCUCAAAGGUANCGGAACAACUCAGGGGAAACUUGGGCUAAUACCGUAUGAUGCAGAGAUGCCAAAGAUUUAUCGCCUUGGGAUAAGCCCGCGUCAGAUUAGGUAGUUGGUGGGGUAAUGGCCUACCAAGCCUGUGACCUGUAGCUGGUCUGAGAGGACGAUCAGCCACAUUGGGACUGAGACACGGCCCAAACUCCUACGGGAGGCAGCAGUGGGGAAUCUUGCGCAAUGGACGAAAGUCUGACGCAGCCAUGCCGCGUGAAUGAUGAAGGUCUUAGGAUUGUAAAGUUCUUUAGCCUGUGACGAUGAUGACGGUAACAGGAGAAUAAGCCCCGGCUAACUUCGUGCCAGCAGCCGCGGUAAUACGAAGGGGGCUAGCGUUGUUCGGAAUUACUGGGCGUAAAGCGCGCGUAGGCGGUUAUGCAAGCCAGAGGUGAAAUGCCUGAGCUCAACUUAGGAAUUGCCUUUGGAACUGCAUGGCUUUGAGGACGAGAGAGGUGAGUGGAAUUCCCAGUGUANAGGUGAAAUUCGUAGAUAUUGGGAAGAACACCGGUGGCGAAGGCGGCUCACUGGCUCGUUUCUGACGCUGUAGCGCGAAAAGCGUGGGGAUCAAACAGGAUUAGAUACCCUGGUAGUCCACGCUGUAAACGAUGAGUGCUAGGCGUUGGCACGCUUGCGUGUCANUGCCGCAGCUAACGCGUGAAGCACU
rnacentral:rRNA from 1 species